UUUUUACCCCGCGGAAACUUAGCAUAUCAAUAAGCGGAGGAAACUAGGAAGAACCAACAGGGGAUUGCCCUAGUAACGGCGAAGUGAAGCGGCAACAGCUCAAAUUUGAAAUCUGGCCCUCGCGGUCCGAGUUGUAAUUUGCAGAGGAUGUUUUUGGCGCGGUGCCUUCCGAGUUCCCUGGAACGGGACGCCAGAGAGGGUGAGAGCCCCGUACGGUUGGACACCUACCCUAUAUAUAACUCCUUCGACGAGUCGAGUAGUUUGGGAAUGCUGCUCUAAAUGGGAGGUAAAUUUCUUCUAAAGCUAAAUACCGGCCAGAGACCGAUAGCGCACAAGUAGAGUGAUCGAAAGAUGAAAAGCACUUUGAAAAGAGGGUUAAAUAGCACGUGAAAUUGUUGAAAGGGAAGCGUUUGCGACCAGACCUUUUCCAGGCGGAUCAUCCGGCGUUCUCGCCGGUGCACUUCGCCUGGUUUAGGCCAGCAUCGGUUCUCCUAGGGGGAUAAAGGCUUGGGGAACGUAGCUCUCUCGGGAGUGUUAUAGCCCCUCGCGCAAUACCCCUCGGGGGACCGAGGACCGCGCAUCUGCAAGGAUGCUGGCGUAAUGGUCGUCAACGACCCGUCUUGAAACACGGACCAAGGAGUCGAACAUUUGUGCGAGUGUUUGGGUGUCAAACCCUCACGCGUAAUGAAAGUGAACGGAGGUGAGAGCCCUCACGGGUGCAUCAUCGACCGAUCCUGAUGUCUUCGGAUGGAUUUGAGUAAGAGCAUAACUGUUCGGACCCGAAAGAUGGUGAACUAUGCGUGGAUAGGGUGAAGCCAGAGGAAACUCUGGUGGAGGCUCGCAGCGGUUCUGACGUGCAAAUCGAUCGUCAAAUCUGCGCAUGGGGGCGAAAGACUUAUCGAACCAUCUAGUAGCUGGUUACCGCCGAUUUCCCCCCCCGGGAAAAAAA
rnacentral:rRNA from 1 species